rnacentral:rRNA from 1 species
GAUGAACGCUGGCGGCGUGCCUAAUACAUGCAAGUCGAGCGAACUGAUUAGAAGCUUGCUUCUAUGACGUUAGCGGCGGACGGGUGAGUAACACGUGGGCAACCUGCCUGUAAGACUGGGAUAACUUGGGGAAACCGAAGCUAAUACCGGAUAGGAUCUUCUCCUUCAUGGGAGAUGAUUGAAAGAUGGUUUUGGCUAUCACUUACAGAUGGGCCCGCGGUGCAUUAGCUAGUUGGUGAGGUAACGGCUCACCAAGGCAACGAUGCAUAGCCGACCUGAGAGGGUGAUCGGCCACACUGGGACUGAGACACGGCCCAGACUCCUACGGGAGGCAGCAGUAGGGAAUCUUCCGCAAUGGACGAAAGUCUGACGGAGCAACGCCGCGUGAGUGAUGAAGGCUUUCGGGUCGUAAAACUCUGUUGUUAGGGAAGAACAAGUACAAGAGUAACUGCUUGUACCUUGACGGUACCUAACCAGAAAGCCACGGCUAACUACGUGCCAGCCGCCGCAGUAAUAC